GACAGAGGAUGCAAGCGUUAUCCGGAAUGAUUGGGCGUAAAGCGUCUGUAGGUGGCUUUUCAAGUCCGCCGUCAAAUCCCAGGGCUCAACCCUGGACAGGCGGUGGAAACUACCAAGCUGGAGUACGGUAGGGGCAGAGGGAAUUUCCGGUGGAGCGGUGAAAUGCGCAGAUAUCGGGAGGAACACCAGUAGCGAAGGCGGCACUCUGGGCCGGUACUGACGCUGAGGAGCGAAAGCGUGGGGAGCAAACAGG
rnacentral:rRNA from 1 species